GUGAGCUGGAGCACGACACGCUGCUACGGCAGAGGAAACUCCUCCCUCCAUACAGGAUAUGUGAUCUGGAGAUAGAUAAUCAGAGAUGAUUGGCAACGGAGCAGAAAAAAAUCCAAUAUGGCGCACAGUGAUGGUGAAAGCCUGAGGUUUCCAUAAAAGGAAUGAAAAAAGCCGACCCACAUGGAGCAAAGCCAAACAGAACUUUAUGUUCCUGUACUAAGUUCAGGUAGGCUGCAAAGCGAAAUAUCGUGAAAACAGAAGGAGGGUUACUCCCAGCACAC
rfam:Marine Group I thaumarchaeote SCGC AAA799-P11 AAA799P11_9, whole genome shotgun sequence.